AAACUUAAAGGAAUUGACGGGGACCCGCACAAGCGGUGGAUGAUGUGGUUUAAUUCGAUGCAACGCGAAAAACCUUACCCACCUUUGACAUGUACGGAAUCCUUUAGAGAUAGAGGAGUGCUCGAAAGAGAACCGUAACACAGGUGCUGCAUGGCUGUCGUCAGCUCGUGUCGUGAGAUGUUGGGUUAAGUCCCGCAACGAGCGCAACCCUUGUCAUUAGUUGCUACAUUUAGUUGGGCACUCUAAUGAGACUGCCGGUGACAAACCGGAGGAAGGUGGGGAUGACGUCAAGUCCUCAUGGCCCUUAUAGGUGGGGCUACACACGUCAUACAAUGGAUGGUACAAAGGGUCGCCAACCCGCGAGGGGGAGCCAAUCCCAUAAAGCCAUUCGUAGUCCGGAUCGCAGUCUGCAACUCGACUGCGUGAAGUCGGAAUCGCUAGUAAUCGUGGAUCAGAAUGUCACGGUGAAUACGUUCCCGGGUCUUGUACACACCGCCCGUCACACCAUGGGAGCGGGUUCUGCCAGAAGUAGUUAGCCUAACCGCAAGGAGGGCGAUUACCACGGCAGGGUUCGUGACUGGGGUGAAGUCGUAACAAGGUAGCCGUAUCGGAAGGUGCGGCUGGAUCACCUCCUUUCUG
rnacentral:rRNA from 1 species